rnacentral:rRNA from 1 species
AUUGAACGCUGGCGGCAGGCCUAACACAUGCAAGUCGAACGAGUGGCGGACGGGUGAGUAAUGUCUGGGAAACUGCCCGAUGGAGGGGGAUAACUACUGGAAACGGUAGCUAAUACUGCACACCAUCGGAUGUGCCCAGAUGGGAUUAGAUAGUAGGUGGGGUAACGGCACACCUAGGCGACGAUCCCUAGCUGGUCUGAGAGGAUGACCAGCGACACUGGAACUGAGACACGGUACAGACUCCAACGGGAGGCAGCAGUGGAGAAUAUUGCACAAUGGGCGCGAGCCUGAUGCAGCCAUGCCGCGUGUAGGAAGAAGGCCUUCGGGUUGUAAAGUACUUUCAGCGAGGAGGCGUUACUCGCAGAAGAAGCAUCGGCUAACUCCGUGCCAGCAGCCGCGGUAAUAC